rnacentral:rRNA from 1 species
UACAGAGGGGGCAAGCGUUGUUCGGAAUUACUGGGCGUAAAGGGCUCGUAGGUGGCCAACUAAGUCAGACGUGAAAUCCCCAGGCUUAACCUGGGAACUGCGUCUGAUACUGGAUGGCUUGAAUUCGGGAGAGGGAUGCAGAAUUCCAGGUGUAGCGGUGAAAUGCGUAGAUAUCUGGAGGAAUACCGGUGGCGAAGGCGGCAUCCUGGACCGAGAUUGACACUGAUGAGCGAAAGCUAGGGGAGCAAACGGG